UGGGGAAUAUUGGACAAUGGGGGGAACCCUGAUCCAGCCAUGCCGCGUGUGUGAAGAAGGCCUUAUGGUUGUAAAGCACUUUAAGCGAGGAGGAGGGUACUGGUAUUAAUACUACCAGCUACUGGACGUUACUCGCAGAAUAAGCACCGGCUAACUCUGUGCCAGCAGCCGCGGUAAUACAGAGGGUGCGAGCGUUAAUCGGAAUUACUGGGCGUAAAGCGUGCGUAGGCGGCUAAUUGAGUCGGAUGUGAAAUCCCCGAGCUUAACUUGGGAAUUGCAUUCGAUACUGGUUAGCUAGAGUGUGGGAGAGGAUGGUAGAAUUCCAGGUGUAGCGGUGAAAUGCGUAGAGAUCUGGAGGAAUACCGAUGGCGAAGGCAGCCAUCUGGCCUAACACUGACGCUGAGGUACGAAAGCAUGGGGAGCAAACAGG
rnacentral:rRNA from 1 species